UACGUAGGGUGCAAGCGUUGUCCGGAAUUAUUGGGCGUAAAGAGCUUGUAGGCGGUUUGUCGCGUCUGCUGUGAAAUUUCGGGGCUCAACCCCGAACUUGCAGUGGGUACGGGCAGACUAGAGUGUGGUAGGGGAGACUGGAAUUCCUGGUGUAGCGGUGAAAUGCGCAGAUAUCAGGAGGAACACCGAUGGCGAAGGCAGGUCUCUGGGCCACUACUGACGCUGAGAAGCGAAAGCUGGGGAGCAAACAGG
rnacentral:rRNA from 1 species